rnacentral:rRNA from 1 species
GACGAACGCUGGCGGCGUGCCUAAUACAUGCAAGUAGAACGCAGUUUCGAACGGGUGAGUAACGCGUAGGUAACUGCCUCAUAGCGGGGGAUAACUAUUGGAAACGAUAGCUAAUACCGCAUACUUUGAGAUGGACCUGCGUUGUAUUAGGUAGUUGGUGGGGUAAAGGCUCACCAAGGCGACGAUACAUAGCCGACCUGAGAGGGUGAUCGGCCAAACUGGGACUGAGACACGGCCCAGAAUCCUACGGGGGGCAGCAGUAGGGAAUCUUCGGCAAUGGACGGAAGUCUGACCGAGCAAAGCCGCGUGAGUGAAGAAGGUUUGCGGAUCGUAAAGCUCUGUUGUUAGAGAAGCGGUAACUAAACAGAAAGGGACGGCUAACUACGUGCCAGCAGCCGCGGUAAUUC